ensembl:snRNA U1 U1 spliceosomal RNA
AUACUUACCUGGCAAGGGAGAUACCAUGAUCAAGAAGGUGGCUCACCCAUAGCGAGGCUCAGCCAUUGCACUGAGGCUGUUGCUGACCCGUGCGAACGGCGAUGGACCGUGGCGACGUGCAAACC